ACUCCUACGGGAGGCAGCAGUAGGGAAUCUUCCACAAUGGGCGCAAGCCUGAUGGAGCAACACCGCGUGAGUGAAGAAGGGUUUCGGCUCGUAAAGCUCUGUUGUUAAAGAAGAACACGUAUGAGAGUAACUGUUCAUACGUUGACGGUAUUUAACCAGAAAGUCACGGCUAACUACGUGCCAGCAGCCGCGGUAAUACGUAGGUGGCAAGCGUUAUCCGGAUUUAUUGGGCGUAAAGAGAGUGCAGGCGGUUUUCUAAGUCUGAUGUGAAAGCCUUCGGCUUAACCGGAGAAGUGCAUCGGAAACUGGAUAACUUGAGUGCAGAAGAGGUAGUGGAACUCCAUGCGUAGCGGUGGAAUGCGUAGAUAUAUGGAAGAACACCAGUGGCGAAGGCGGCUACCUGGUCUGCAACUGACGCUGAGACUCGAAAGCAUGGGUAGCGAACAGGAUUAGAUACCCCUGGUAGGAUAGCC
rnacentral:rRNA from 1 species